CCAUGGUUGGCCAGUCUGAAGUCCUCCCUACAGAGAAGAUGAAGACAGUAUUAAGCUCAUGAUCAGAUGAAUUGGUUGGACAGUGCCAUGGUGGUAUCUCCAGACUGAUGACGAGCUGAAACUUUCUACUUUAUCUGCUAGCCAUGACAACACUGGUUCUUCAUGCAGUGAUGAUGAAGGUACCUUGUCUGUGCUACACUGCAGUAUCUUCCUCGGCCUGAGGCAGGACUGUCUGGACACUGAAGUCAAUGGGUUCCUUCAUCCAAUGCAGGAGAAUGACGGAGAGGAUAAUCUGACUAAAGCAGGUCAUAGAGAAUUUAACUGUCAGACUUCCAAUGAGACCAAACUCAAUUAUCCUCCUGUAUGUUAUGUGAGAAGUGAAUUAAUCACCGUAUAAUGUUUAGGCUCGGGAACACACACCCUGUUCUCUCUGCUCUGUGGUACAGAGGACACCCUGCCUUCUCUUACAUGGUUCCCAAGCUCUGCAGUCAAAUACUGGCCUGAGAAGACCUGGUAAACAUCACAGUCUAUACACACACUUUCCUUUCAUGGUAAUAUUCACUUC